rnacentral:rRNA from 1 species
UGCAAGUCGAGGGGUAGAGGCCUUCGGGCCUUGAGACCGGCGCACGGGUGCGUAACGCGUAUGCAAUCUGCCUUCCACAGAGGGAUAGCCCAGAGAAAUUUGGAUUAAUACCUCAUAGCAUCAUGACCCGGCAUCGGGAUAUGAUUAAAGUCACAACGGUGGAAGAUGAGCAUGCGUCCCAUUAGCUAGUUGGUAAGGUAACGGCUUACCAAGGCUACGAUGGGUAGGGGUCCUGAGAGGGAGAUCCCCCACACUGGUACUGAGACACGGACCAGACUCCUACGGGAGGCAGCAGUGAGGAAUAUUGGUCAAUGGGCGCAAGCCUGAACCAGCCAUGCCGCGUGCAGGAUGACGGUCCUAUGGAUUGUAAACUGCUUUUGUACGGGAAGAAACCCUCCUACGUGUAGGAGCUUGACGGUACCGUAAGAAUAAGGAUCGGCUAACUCCGUGCCAGCAGCCGCGGUAAUACGGAGGAUCCAAGCGUUAUCCGGAAUCAUUGGGUUUAAAGGGUCUGUAGGCGGUCUUGUAAGUCAGUGGUGAAAGCCCAUCGCUCAACGGUGGAACGGCCAUUGAUACUGCUGGACUUGAAUUAUUGGGAAGCAACUAGAAUAUGUAGUGUAGCGGUGAAAUGCUUAGAGAUUACAUGGAAUACCAAUUGCGAAGGCAGGUUGCUACCAAUGGAUUGACGCUGAUGGACGAAAGCGUGCGUAGCGAACAGGAUUAGAUACCCUGGUAGUCCACGCCGUACACGAUGGAUACUAGCUGUUGGGCGCAAGUUCAGUGGCUAAGCGAAAGUGAUAAGUAUCCCACCUGGGGAGUACGAACGCAAGUUUGACACUCAAAGGAAUUGACGGGGGCCCGCACAAGCGGUGGA